rnacentral:rRNA from 1 species
AUUGAACGCUGGCGGGAGGCCUAACACAUGCAAGUCGAACGAGUGGCGGACGGGUGAGUAAUGUCUCGGAACCUGCCUGGUAGAGGGGGAUAACUACUGGAAAGGGUAGCUAAUACCGCAUACCAUCAGAUCUGCCCAGAUGGGAUUAGCUUGUUGGGGGGGUAAAGGCUCACCAAGGCGACGAUCCCUAGCUGGUCUGAGAGGAUGACCAGCCACACUGGAACUGAGACACGGCCCAGACUCCUACGGGAGGCAGCAGUGGGGAAUAUUGGACAAUGGGCGCAAGCCUGAUGCAGCCAUGCCGCGUGUAUGAAGAAGGCCUUCGGGUUGUAAAGUACUUUCAGCGGGGAGGCGGUACCUGCAGAAGAAGCACCGGCUAACUCCGUGCCAGCAGCCGCGGUAAUAC